UCUCUUGCCAACUGACUUGUGCGGACAGCGUUUCGUGCGUAAGUUUCUAGAAGUCAGCAGCCACGUGGUGACUCAGCGUGUUUCCGUUGGUCAACGAGCGUACUUGGAACUAUGAAUUCGAUGUUUUCGAAUUACGACCUCAACUCAAGCAAGACUACCCGCUGAACUUAAGCAUAU
rnacentral:rRNA from 1 species